GACACACUCAUAAAAUCAUGUUUGUGGUUAAAGAGCGCGAGCAUCGUCACACGGCUGCUCUGGACACCUUCACCUCCCUGCGUUGGUGCAUUUGUGACAUGUUUUGAAGCUUUAACAUCUUUCAUCGAUAAGGUGCAGAUAACAUUUCAUCCUCAUAAAACCACAACUGUCAAUCUCCUGAAGCAGGAUGGAAAUCAGUAAAAACAUCUGUCACGGGAAAUACCCACAAAAUGUCCAGUAAGACACGACGGCAGAGGCUCACUGCGGCUGCUCUCUCUGUGACUCCCAUGGGCGAAGACAACAGAAAGUGACCCUGCUUGUAUUUAUUCGUGAGUAAAUCCAUCUGUGUGUUCACUUCCCACUGGCAAAGACACAUUUCUCCUGAAUAAUUAAUAGUUCAGACCAGAACAGCUGCUUAGAAGACAAGACUGUAAAUCCAUUACAAUAAAACAAGACGAGUCAUUAAAAGCAAUGCAGCCAUUGCUUUUAAAUGAAAAUAAAAUCCAGGUCGAAUUUUAGUCACUUCAUAUUCAGUUCAGGAUUUGCAUUUAAGAAGUUGUCGAGGGGUAA